ensembl:lncRNA
AUGGCUGAUGAGUGUCAUCUGUGUCUGCUGGGACUGAUCUUUCUCUCUUCACUUCUCACAGCUCAAACUAAUUCAACAACAUCAGUGAUUCCAGUCCACAGCACACACUCUCAGGAUCCCUCAACUACAAACACACACACAACUAAAGCUCAAACUAAUUCAACAACAUCAGUGAUUCCAGUCCACAGCACACACUCUCAGGAUCCCUCAACUACAAACACACACACAACUAAAGAUCCAGGAGAAACUGAAGUCUGUAUUUCUGCUGGAUCAUUAUUCAGAGAGAUUUUGAUCAUUCUUAAGACUGCAGUGUUUACUGCUCCUACUGUGAUUCUUCUUCAGAUCAUCUGUGCAAGAAGAGCUGGUGAGUUUUUCAGAUGAUGCAC